GCCGCUCCAGUAACCGCCCUCAGCGCGGGCAGAAAGUAACCGAGCUUUUAUUCUCAUUAUUGCUACUAAAAAUCUCUGCUGUCUUUUGCGAAUUGCCGUAAAUUUCCACUCGGCACACGCAGGUGCGUUCUGCGUUUCCCCAGUUGCUCCGCGCCUCCAAUCUGGCACGGCCGAAGGCUUUGCGGGGCUCCUCCUGCUGAUACAAAGCGGGAAGCGCCGCGGCACAUCCGCACGGCUCCCUUUGCCAGCCACAGAACCCCGGCUUGCUCUGCUCCGCUCCCUGGGCUGCCGUGGGACGCCAGAGCGGCGCUGCUGAUGGGGGAAGGCAGCUGCACUCCUCCCUCCCGCCAGCAGUCGUCCCUCCACACCCGCAGGAGGACGGUUUCCCUCCCAGCAGCCCACCGCACGCACUGGCCGUACCUGCGCGUGGAAGGUGUGGGCGAUCUCUCCGUCCACAUCGUAAACAACCAACCCCAGGAGAGUUUCACCUUCAUCCUCAUCUGCUCCCUCAAAGACAAGAGAUGACGGCAGUCACACUUAGGCAGGCCGUGCGAAAAAGAACAUGCAGAGGCCAAAGGUGGGAGCCCCUCUCCCCCACAUCAGCUCUGGCAGGAUUGGAGCACAAAGGAGGGAACUGACCAAGAAACUGAGCAGGAUGCACUGCAGGAAGGCAGCCAUCCCACCCUGCCGGUCUCGGACAGUGGAACGCAGGCAGCGUCAACAGCUGGCACGCCAGGCAUGAAUGCAGGAAAGCACAGAGGCUGCUGUUCACAAAUCUGAGCAGAAGUGCCACGUCACAGCCAUGGUAAUGUUCUCAGCUGUGCUGCUGUCUGCAUGCUGCUGGCCUGUGGUGCUGUGAUGUGGAUGUGCCAGAAAUACCUGGGAGUUGGCUUUUCCCCAAAACACCCGAUUGCUGCACUUGGCAAUGAAGCAUCUGUAGUGCCAGGAUCCUGGACGGCCAGAUCAGCUGCUGGCAGCGCACUGCCAGGACUAACAGCUCAGAUUUAUCUGAAGAUGAAAUUGCUAACCGGAGAUACGGAUUGUUGUACCAGGAAAUGGAGGCUGAUAAAGCAGAGGUACCUACCCCAGUGUGUAGCCUAGUCUAGACAAAGAGUUCCUUAGGUCAAGCAUAACCUUGUCGUUUAAAACCAGUCCAUCUGUGUGUUUCCUGCUACCCCUCCUAAGUCCUUGCAAUUUUUUCUUGGAAAGUUGUCAUGCAGCUGUUCAUAGUGUGGUGCCCUUCAGUCAUGUAAUGAAGCAGGCUGGCAGAAAUGCAUUUCAGGAAGGUGAAUGAAGCUUCACACUGUGAAGGCACACGGUGUCUCACAGCUUUUGUACUUUAUAUGUAUAAUUUAAAAUGCAUUUCCAGUCUUUUCUUCUUUCUUUUUAUAAAAAUACUGAAGUCACUGCGCUUUUUUUAUUGGUUUUGGUGUUCUCUUUAAGCCUGUAAAAUCUGUUAUCGAAUUGCACUGUCAUCAAGUAUCUUUCUGCCUUGCCCUUCCUUUUGUUAUUUCUUUUGUUUUAUGUCUGGCCUAUUUUUAUUUUGCAAAUAGAAAUGUUUUCCCCAUGUUCUUGUUUACUAAACAAAUGAUGACUUGUUCUGAUCUUCACUUCUACUUGGGCAUCCAGCACGGCAUUUAAUGGAUUUGCACAGGUUAGAAACAAGCAAAUUUUGAGUGUUUUCUUCUGUUUUGUUGGGAGGAGAUUAAGACUGGCUGUACAGUUUUGAAAACUCUGCUCUGCAGACCAGCUACACAGUAAUGUCCUGCUGACACGAAUCCUGAACUUGUCUGCCCUCAGAAAGUCUUCCUGGAUGUUCCUAGAAGGCUGCUAAUAUUCUUGGCGCUCUUGGCCUAGCUGAAUUUAAUUGGAAAACUCCCACUAGCUUAGCAGGACUGUCUUCUUAUUUUCCAAAUGAAAGAACUGGAUUCGUAUUUUUCUUUCUCUCUUUUUUGGAUUUUUCUAACAAUCUCAAAAUCCUGUUGUACAAUCAAUGGAUAUUAAGAUGUUAUAAUCACAAAAGAACAAGAGAGUGAGGCAAAGUAGACUAAGAUAACAAGAGAGAAUAAACGGAAGGCUUACCCGCAUGCUAGGCUCACUUACAAAACCCCCAGAAGAGGGGAUCUCCAGAAGAGAUCCUUCCCCACUGGCAGCCAGCUCUUCAAUAGGUCUAGGAGGGGUGGAGCCAGGCAGCACAGGUGGAUUGCCUUCACUGUGCUCCUCUGGCUGACUCGUGGCUCGUCUCCGGUGAUCAAUCAGAGGUUCAGGCUGUGACUCAGCAGUUCCCAAACACCUGUGAAGCAUGGCUUCCUCACAGCUUUCACGCCUGUUCAGUGACUCUGUGUAUUUAUGCAUUUAUACAUGAAAUGACUUUAUUUGUUUCUGCAAUGUUGUUUUCACCUAUCGUAUGUUUUAGUCUGGGAGUUCAAUCUGAGUUGUUUAUUUAGUGCUGUGAUAAUGCUGAGGAUCUGCUCGAGGCACUGCAGCAGUGCAGUGCACGCUUACGUCUCAAACCCCAGGGCCCCCAUCCCAAGUGAUAAUGCAGAUAAUCUGGGGCCUUCUUAAAUUCCAGCACCUUUCAGAGGCUGGCUUACCCACAGCAUGCUCUGCACACCACUGUUUACAUAUGCACACAAAAAAGCUGGGCAUCUGCAAGGCUGAAAACGAGUCUUUCAGUGCUUAUUAAUUUUGCUCCAGGCCUUUGACAUUAGUAAAGUAUUCAGAAGGAAGGGCUAAAAUACAAAGCUGCCACCACUUUCUCUAGUUAAUGCAUGCGAAGCUUCACCUCUCUAAUUCCUGAGCAGUGUGCGCUGUGCAAAUAAAAGCCCAGAGUCCAGAGGAUGUGUAAGGAGCUCCGAGCUCUGCACUCCCUGUGCAGUGCAGUCUGGCAAAAUCAACUUCUGGCAUUCGCUGUUCAGAAGUGCAGUGUGCCUGAAGCAAAGUCCUUGCAAUUCGCUUCUAUUCAGUGAAGGAUUCUUCACCUGUUUGAACAACUUGAAACAUUUUAGAGUCGUGGAACACUUUUGAAAAAGGAAGGUCUUUAAUAUUGACAUUCAUGCCUGUUUAGAUUAUCGAUUUUCCAUCCAAGCUCAGCUAUUGGUGGUUAUGCCUGAGUAAGCCAUAAAAAUCAGGUCUUUACUGGAUACAUCCCAUGCCAAAUAUUGUUGCUGUGUUGUUUUUAUUUUCUAUAGGUAGGAUGCCGCUGCAUUUACAGUGCAAUCAAAUGAGAAUGUGACAGAGACUCUGUAAGUGGUGGAUUUGGCUUCUUUUCUAAAUGGUGUGUAAAAAAAAGGGUACUGUUUUUUGCUUUGUACAAAAAUAUUUGCUCCUUUGUACAAAAACAUGGGUGUUUUCCAUCCUCUAAAUCAUUAAAUCUUGACCUGAAAGAAUAGGUGGGUAUACCAUUGCAGCUGUAAAUCUGUACUUUCUGAAAGUCUUUCACUAGGAUAGCACUGCAAAAAAGGAAAAACAGGAUGCCUAGAUACUUUUAGUUUAUGAAGGUACAGCCAGUUUACUUAUUUAUUGCACUUCAGAAAAUCAAGAAUGAGUGCUUUGGUCCAGGGUACAGCAGGAAGUGCUCACAUGUGCUGUUGGUACACAUACCUCUAAUAUCACUGCAGCUUUAUCUAUCUUCCACAUUUUAGUAGGUACCAUCUUUUAAGGGGGGGAAUACUGUUGAAAGCGAUCAUGCUUUGGUGGUUUCUGGGCUCCUCUUGCUGAAUCCAGUUAGCCUGAAUGAAGGAUAUGGAGUGGCAGCAUUGCUGGGUGAACGCUGCCGUUACUGAGAGCAGAAGAGUGAUUCUGUCUGUUGAUGUGCCUUUGGUCACUGAGCACCGUGAGAGCAUUCUGAGUAUUUGUGUUUCUAGUUCAGAUGGCAGGUAGCCUAAAGACUGCUUGUGCACAAGUGACUCAGAGCACAUCGGUGCCAUCUGCAUUCUAACACAUUACCUCUGAUUUUAAGCCUGAAAGUUCCUUCCAGUAUUAAGGCCCAGGAAACUCAUUAGCCAUCUGACCUGGGACAGAUCUGCCUUUUGUUUCUCAUUACAAUUAUCCCACAGGACAGACUUCUGCACAGUGUGGUGUAAUAUAAUGAACAUUUCUUUAUUCUUUGCCAAAUCCUGAAGGUGGUGCUUAGGCAGAUUUCUCUAUACCUCACUAAAAACAAGCCUGCUAAAGGAAUAGAUGAGGAAAGAAUUGAAAGGACGUGUUUUGGUGUGGAGGUGGGUUUUUCUGUUUGGUUUUGUUUUGUUGUUGUUUUCUGACAAAUGUCAGGGAGCAGAUUUUCGUAUUUUGAAGAAUUUCAGAGAUGUCUCUUCAUUACAGAAGGCCUUCUGACCAGCUGCAUCUUAUCAACUGCAAAGCAGCUGCGUAGAUUUGAGGUUCAUGUUAUGCUGAGCAAUGUGUUCAUGGCAAAUUGAUCUACUGGGGUUAUUUAAUCUGGCUGAGUCAGCCAUCUUUAUAGCUGGAAUAUGCUGAGCACAGCUUGCAGCUCUCUCCUUUAGCUGUGUGUGUUUGUGUAUGGCAACUGCUGAGUCACGGC